rnacentral:rRNA from 1 species
UACGAAGGGGGCUAGCGUUGUUCGGAAUCACUGGGCGUAAAGGGCGCGUAGGCGGCCGAUCAAGUCGGGGGUGAAAGCCUGUGGCUCAACCACAGAAUUGCCUUCGAUACUGUUUGGCUUGAGACCGGAAGAGGUUAGUGGAACUGCGAGUGUAGAGGUGAAAUUCGUAGAUAUUCGCAAGAACACCAGUGGCGAAGGCGGCUCACUGGCCCGGUACUGACGCUGAGGCACGAAAGCGUGGGGAGCAAACAGG